rnacentral:tRNA from 1 species
GGCUCCGUGGCGCAAUGGAUAGCGCAUUGGACUUCUGAUUCAAAGGUUCCGGGUUUCGAGUCCCGGCGGAGUCGCCA